AUGAAGCACACAAACUUGUUUCACCUCAAAGUUAAAAGCAUUGAGAAGAAAUGAUCCAACUCCUCCAGCACGCUACCUACUAGAAACUUUAAUUUAGCUCCUGGUGCCACGUGGAAGUUUUCCCAUCCAGCGAGCAGCGAGGGAAUUUCCCCCAGGACCAGAUCCCCCUGGGGCACCCAGAACUGCCACCGCUGGCUCAGUUGAAGGGGAUCCCUGUGCCCGAGGCUCUGGGCGAUGGAUGGAGCCACCAGCCCUGUAGCAGAGGUGUUGAUGCCAUUGAUCAGCUCCAGCACUGGUUUCCCCCUCUUCUCCCUGCUAUAUUUUCCUCUUGGCUGGGGAAUAAAUAAAUAUGAGCAGCCGGCACCAUGUGCCUGGAGGCGGUAGGGCUGUGGGGUUUCCCCGGGGAGCGCAUUGGCCAGAAGCAUCCCCUCGUCCCUCCAUCCAUGGUGGAGAGCUGAGCAUUGCCCAGCCCCAUGCCCUGUGUCUUUGGGGGUGAAGAGGCUGCGUGGAUGUGGGUCAAAUGAUGCAGGGUUUGGGGAUUUGCGUUGC